rnacentral:rRNA from 1 species
GACGAACGCUGGCGGCGUGCUUAACACAUGCAAGUCACGGGGCCGCAAGGCACCGCGAACGGUGCGUAACACGUGAGCAACCUGCCGAUCUGAGGGGGAGUAGCCGGCCCAACGGCCGGGUAAUACCGCAUACGUUCUCGAGGGGGAGUCCUCUUGGGAAGAAACCUUCGGGGCGAGAUCGAGGGGCUCGCGGCCUAUCAGCUAGUUGGCGGUGUAAUGGACCACCAAGGCUUCGACGGGAGCUGGUCUGAGAGGAUGGCCAGCCACAUUGGGACGUGAGAGACGGCCCAGACUCCUACGGGAGGCAGCAGUGGGGAAUCUUGCGCAAUGGCCGAAAGGCUGACGCAGCGACGCCGCGUGUGGGAUGAAGCAUUUCGGUGUGUAAACCACUGUUGCCCGGGACGAACAUCCUCUUUCGAGAGGACUGACGGUACC